CCUCUUCAGACUUGGGGCAUUAGAAAUUCUGUUGCAUUGUUCUGGUACAUUUCAGUGCAUUAGCUACACAGCUCAGCUGGCAAGGUUUUGUUGUUGGCAACCAGGCUAUCCAGAGGAGAUGAAUCAUCCAAUUUUAUAUUCUUGGACUUCAUAAGAUCAAGAAUGAAAAAGCAGUGGAAAAUAUUGACUUCACUGGUAUCUGUGGCUCUGUGAGUGAUAUUACUUAACAUCCUUUUGUUUGCAGAAGCAUGAGUUAUUUCAAUGGUCUCCAAAAGCAGAAGAUAGCUUUCUGGUAGAGGCAAUGACUGCCUCUUUGGAUGGUUUCCUUUAGAUGCAGCUGUGUAUGUUUUGCUGCCCUGUAAAUCCCAGUGACACCUAACUUCAGUAUCUCACUGCCACCUUCCUGGUCUGAUCGUAGUGAUUAUGAGGAAGAGUCAUUAAAGUCCUCUGUUAAACUUCAUGUAUCCUUACUGCCUGCUUCUAGUGUCUGUCUUUGCCUCAUGAGAGGUUUAGGAAGCAGGUGUGAUGCAGUGUUUCUGAUACUACUAUGGCGUAGGCUGAUCAGUCACUGACAUUGCUUUGUGGUGGUUGUGACUGGCAUGCAGAUGAGGACAGGUUGGACUGAAUCUAAGUAACUCAGAGAAGAUAUCGGUUAUCAGAGGGAGUUGAUCAAUAGCCCUUGGGCACAGUAUUGGAUGCUGGGGCUGAGAACCGAAUGCCAUUUGCCAGCAGGUGGUGGGGUGGCUCCUAUCUGCCACUGCACUGCAGCAGCCACUACAGCUGCUAUUGCUGUGUGGCCAACUGGCUGUGUUACUGCACUUUGUCAGAACUGCAUUUUUUCACAGGUAGAGGAUUCUACAGUUCUUUUUUUAAAGUGGCCUGCUUUUCCAUGAGCUCAUUAUGUCAGAGCUGCAAUGUACUCUUUCUCAGGUAGUCAGGAUCUACAGUCUGAGUGCUGAUUCUAACUGUAUCUAGCCACCAAUGUGACUCACUUAUUGUUAUCUGAAUGCUUGUGAGGUAUCUAUAGGCAAGAACAAACACUGGUAGUUUUUUAGUUACUUCAAGGACUUUGAUGUUGAAGUUUCUACUAGUUUUCCCCUAAAUAAAUAACCAUUUUUGAUUUGUUCAGUCAUUCUCCCUAGCCUACUGCCAGGAGCUAUGUAUGAUGUAGCAAUUUAUGCACUAUGUUCCCCAACUACGUUGUCACAAAUGGGAAAUCAUGUUUGUUCAUGGCAGUCAGAAUGUGCCGGAUGCUGCCUUUCAUUGGAUAAAAUAUGACAGCGUAACAGUAUGUUCCAUCUGAGGAAUACAUUUUAAAAUAGAAGGUGGUUCUAGAGAAUUUCCAGGCUCCCACAUAGCAGGCAUGCUACAGUUUAUCUCCUUUCACUAUAGGACUACUGCAUGAGUGGUAAACUGAACUUUGCUCAAGAUAGCAGGGUGUUAGCAUUCAGAACAAUGCUGAGCCAUGAGAAACACCAGGAAAGGUGAUUUUUGUGUAUGGGAUAUUCUUGAAUGCAUUGGUGGGAUUUGUUUGUAUUUAGACACUCAGUGCCCUUAUGGUAAAUCUAAAACAGAACUUGACUUCUCUUAGAAGGGUAUCAGAUGAAUAGUUCAAAUACUUUUGCAGUAUAUUUCCGCUGCCUUUUCCAAUCUGAUGUUGCCUUUUAUAGGUAUAUAUAUAUUUUUUCUUUUGCAGUGUCUAAGAACUCAUAUGUCACUACGGAGAACACCUGAAGCAUUGGGCUAUGCUAUUUGCUUAAUAAAUAAAUGUUUUGUAGCAUGUCUUCUGCCAAUGUCAGACUCUAGUAGGUGGCAUGCUCUUAAAUGCAGUGCAGUGGCCGUUCUACUGUUUUAUAAUCCCUUUGGUAAAUCUGUAUUCCACUUUAAUUAGAUAAAUAAAAAUUGAACUUGACAGUAAGAUUUUUGUGAAACCUAUGUCAGUGUACUGCUCUGGCAGUGCCAUGUUUGCUGGCCAUG
rnacentral:lncRNA from 7 species